CGAGAUAAGGAUCACAGCGGUCACCAAGUUUGGACAAUCACAUGGGGUCGUGUGCAUAAAGUGUUAGCACAGGGCCUGGCACUUCCUAAGCGCUGGACAAUACUGGCUGUGUCAUAACUGCCAUUGUUCUCACUCUGCAGCAGACAUGGACUGAGUACUUCAUGUAUUCCAGAUUCUCCCCACAGCAACUCGAAGAAGCAGCUGACAUCGCUCUCCCCAUUUUAUAGAUGUGAGAAUGGAAGAAGUUAAGAUGGAUCCAAGCCAGUUGAUGAGAAAACCGAGGCUUGGAGAGGGGAAGUAACUUACCCAAGACUGCACAGCAGUAAAAGUGACAGAACCUGGACCCAGCCCCUAGCUCCAGACCCCCACUACUCUGCUGACCUGCAGGGGCCUUGAAUCAACAUAAAGCCCUUCACUCCCAGCCUGCUCCUGUCCCAACCUCAAGAGCUCCAGAGAACAUCCAUCCUCCAUGGAGCCUCCCAGCCUAAGCCCUCUGAGCUACCUCCCUUCUUCUCUCCCCUCAGCCCAGGCUUUCAUAUCACCUCACAGAGAGCCUCAGAGCCACCCCGGGAGCUUCACAGCUGCCUGGCUUCGGGAUCUUUGCUCUGAGAGACCCCAAGAUGGAGCAGCAGCUCCUAUUCUGUGGCCUGCCUGGCAGGCUUGGUUUUACACCAUCUUCCCAGCUACCCCUUGGGGUAUGGGUUUUAUCACCCCCUUAUAUAGAAGGGGUCAGGGAUCAAAGCAGGCAAGCCAUUUGCCUAGAACCACACAGCUGGUUCCAGAGUUGGGAUCCAAAUGCAGGACUGCCCUUGGCCAUACUGCCUUCUGGAUGUCCCUGUGGUGCCUCUGCCUAGUCAAGAGCCCCUGCUGCCUGGGCAGACCCCUCUCCACAUCCCCAUGACAAUGACAAUCCCACUGGUUAAACAUUUCA